CGGGGUGUGGCCCAACGGUAAGGCGCAGGAUUCGGGUUCCUGAGAUUCCGGGUUCGAGUCCCGGCACCCCGACCA
rnacentral:tRNA from 1 species